rnacentral:rRNA from 1 species
GACAGAGGCCUCAAGCGUUAGGCGGAAUCACUGGGCUUAAAGGGUGCGUAGGCGGGUUGGUAAGUCCGUGGUGAAAUCUCCGAGCUUAACUCGGAAACUGCCGUGGAUACUAUCAAUCUUGAAUAUCGUGGAGGUAAGCGGAAUAUGUCAUGUAGCGGUGAAAUGCUUAGAUAUGACAUAGAACACCAAUUGCGUAGGCAGCUUACUACACGAUCAUUGACGCUGAGGCACGAAAGCGUGGGGAGCAAACAGG